rnacentral:rRNA from 1 species
AACGUAGGUUCCGAGCGUUAUCCGGAUUUACUGGGCGUAAAGCGCGUUCAGGCGGUUUGGCAAGUCGGGCAUGAAAUCUCUGGGCUCAACCUGGAGAGGUUGUCCGAUACUGCUGAACUGGAGGGCAGUAGAGGGUGGUGGAAUUCCGGGUGUAGUGGUGAAAUGCGUAGAGAUCCGGAGGAACACCAGUGGCGAAGGCGGUCUCCUGGGGCAUUCUUGACGCUGAGGCGCGAAAGCUGGGGGAGCAAACGGGGAUU